rnacentral:rRNA from 1 species
UUGCGGUUAAAAAGCUCGUAGUUGGAUUUCUGUCGAGGGCGGGCGGUCCGCACUAUGUGCGUGUAUCUUGUUCGGUCUUGGCAUCCUCUUGGGGAAUGCUUCUGUGCUUGAUUGCAUGGGGUGGAAUUCAAGACUUUUACUUUGAGGAAAUUAGAGUGUUCACGGCAAGCUACCGCUUUGAAUACAUUAGCAUGGAAUAAUAAUAUAGGGCGUAAGUUCUAUUUUGUUGGUUUCUAGGACAUACGCAAUGAUUAAUAGGGACAAUUGGGGGCAUUCGUAUUAACGCGUCAGAGGUGGAAUUCUUAGAUUGCGUUACGACGAACUACUGCGAAAGCAUUUGCCAAAGAUGUUUUCAUUGAUCAAGAACGAAAGUAUGGGGAUCGAAGACGAUUAGAUACCGUCGUAGUCUAUACCAUAAACUAUGCCAAUUAGAGAUUGGGCGUCGUUCGUUUUAUGACUCGCUCAGCACCUUAUGAGAAAUCAAAAUUUUUGGGUUCCGGGGGGAGUAUGGUCGCAAGGCUGAAACUUAAAGGAAUUGACGGAAGGGCACCACCAGGAGUGGAGCCUGCGGCUUAAUUUGACUCAACACGGGAAAACUUACCAGGUCCAGACAUAGUAAGGAUUGACAGAUUGAUAGCUCU